rnacentral:rRNA from 1 species
CUCCUGGAAACGGGUGGUAAUACCGGAUGCUCCGCUCCAUCGCAUGGUGGGGUGGGAAAUGCUUUUGCGGCAUGGGAUGGGGUCGCGUCCUAUCAGCUUGUUGGCGGGGUGAUGGCCCACCAAGGCGUUGACGGGUAGCCGGCCUGAGAGGGUGACCGGCCACAUUGGGACUGAGAUACGGCCCAGACUCCUACGGGAGGCAGCAGUGGGGAAUAUUGCACAAUGGGCGCAAGCCUGAUGCAGCGACGCCGCGUGCGGGAUGGAGGCCUUCGGGUUGUAAACCGCUUUUGUUCAAGGGCAAGGCACGGUUUCGGCCGUGUUGAGUGGAUUGUUCGAAUAAGCACCGGCUAACUACGUGCCAGCAGCCGCGGUAAUACGUAGGGUGCGAGCGUUAUCCGGAUUUAUUGGGCGUAAAGGGCUCGUAGGCGGUUCGUCGCGUCCGGUGUGAAAGUCCAUCGCCUAACGGUGGAUCUGCGCCGGGUACGGGCGGGCUGGAGUGCGGUAGGGGAGACUGGAAUUCCCGGUGUAACGGUGGAAUGUGUAGAUAUCGGAAAAGAACACCA